UACGUAGGCAGCGAGCGUUGUUCGGAGUUACUGGGCGUAAAGAGUGCGUAGGCGGUUUCUAAGUUUGGUGUGAAAUCUCCCGGCUUAACUGGGAGGGUGCGCCGAAAACUGGAAGGCUUGAGUGUGGGAGAGGUAAGCGGAAUUCCUGGUGUAGCGGUGAAAUGCGUAGAUAUCAGGAGGAACACCUGUGGUGUAGACAGCUUACUGGACCAUGACUGACGCUGAGGCACGAAAGCGUGGGGAGCAAACAGG
rnacentral:rRNA from 1 species